UACAGAGGGUGCGAGCGUUGUCCGGAAUCACUGGGCGUAAAGGGCGCGUAGGCGGCCCCUUAAGCGUGUGGUGAAAGCGCGGGGCUCAACCCCGCGUCGGCCAUGGCGGACUGGGGGGCUGGAGCACGGUCAGAGGCAGGCGGAAUUCCGGGUGUAGCGGUGGAAUGCGUAGAGAUCCGGAAGAACACCGGUGGCGAAGGCGGUUAGCUGGGCAUGUCUGACACUGAGCGCGACAGCGUGGGGAGC
rnacentral:rRNA from 1 species